rnacentral:rRNA from 1 species
UAAAAAUGUUAAUAUUUGAACUAAAGUAGUAUUAGUUAUGUUCUUUAAAUUUAAAGAUUUUGGCGGUAUUUUAGUCUAUUCAGAGGAACCUGUUCUGUAAUUGAUAGUCCACGAUUAACUUUACUUAAAUUUAAAAGCUUGUAUAUCGUUGUUUAUAGAAAAUUUUUUAAGAAAUAUAAUUUUUAAUAAAUUUAAUUAAAUUAUAAAUCAAAUCAAGGUGCAGUUUAUAUUUAAGAAGAAAUGGGUUACAAUAAAAUUAUUUAAACGGAUUUAAAUAUUCAAAUAUUUAAUAAAGGAGGAUUUGAUAGUAAUUUUAUUAAAUUAAAUAAAAUGAUUAUAGCUCUAUAAUAUGU